CCCAGGUAGGUGAGACUACAGAUGUGCACCACCAUGCCCAGCUAGUUUUUUGUAUUUUUAGUAUUUACCUCCAUUCUAUAGCUGUUAAAACAGGCCUCAGAAGGAAAAACAGCUUUCCUUGGUUAGUGGGGGCUGGAAGCUCUAGCAUUUUCUCUCCUCCAGUCCGUCUGGGUAUAAUGGCCACCCAUUGUAGUGGGCUUUGAUUUUUUUCCAAGAAUGAAGCUUGGAGCCCCACAGAAAUUGUGUUUUGUUAGUAAGUUGAUGGAAGGAUUUUUUGGCGUUGAUUUUAAAUUCCCAUAGUCUACUUCUAGCGAAGCUCCACACCCCUCAUUUACUCUCUCUCUUCUCUUUAGGGGCCAAGGAACAAAGUGUGGCCAACUGUUUUGAAGCCACCCUGUUUUGAAAAGGCUUUUUCCACUCAGGUGGCCUUGCGCCGAAUGGCCAGCCCUGCCCACUGUAUGGAAACAAUAGAUGCUGCCUUAGAAGGGAGCAAGCUGGCACUGUCCUGGUAUGUGGGUGCGGCCAGGAAGCUUUGGGCCAAACUGUGCAGACUUGCUGUCUCAGGAUUAGCGCUUUCUACAGCCAGAGCGGAGACGAGGGGCGGUCGGCAUCCAGCCCUUCCUCCUAGAGAUGAAAGGGGUCUGUAGAUGGACAAGACCCUUGUUCACCAAGUCACAGGACGAAGUCAGAGGAGAAGGACAGAAGUCAAAAAGGAGGAGGAAAAGGGUGCUGCUCCUAUCACCUAUAAAUUCUGCAUCCAUGAAAAAAAAAAAAGUCCGCAAAAUUAUGGCCCUGAACCAAUCUGUAUCAACCCUGAACAUGUUGGGCGCCACCCACUGGGUUGGGCAGAAGAUGGUGAAGGCCUGGCAGAAGUUGGUAAGGAACACUGUGCCAAAGGCUUGGUGUGGCAGGAGGUGACAGGACAAAGGUACCAGAGGAUGCCAGCUGGGCGCCAGCCUUCUUAGCUGUCAGAACUGGUCUUGGAAAAAAAGGACAGCCAUCGGGUAUGCUUUUGUAGGAGGCAUUUUUACUCUUGCAGACAGCUGCCUCUCCUUCCUUCCUGUGACUGAACAGGCCAGAGGGGAAGGUCAAGGGCAGGCAGGAGAACAGGGACAAAGGCAUAAAGUAUGGAUUGUACACAGACUCCUGUUCUAAUCCAGCUCACUUACUGACUUUCUAUGUCAAAAAACAAAAACAUUAGAAACUUGGACGGGAAAGAGGCUGGCACAAAUGCAAAUAUGAGCUGAGUUCCAAAAGAAAAAAGACAACAGAUAAAGAGAUUCUCCUCGGUACUCUACCUGUGAAUGACUUUGAAAUUGGCCUUAGGAAGGGUCCUGAUGGGCAUGAAAAAAAAAAAAAAAAAAAACCACUAGCUCUAUUUUCUCUAUAUAGAUGUGAAGGUCAACAAGAGUACCUUGUUGAAAUGUCUGGGAAGUGAAAGUGACACAGAAAAAGAAGACUUGAGGGCAUAUGCAUUGGCCUUUUUUAUCUGAAGGUGCAACAGCCAGUGAAGAUGGGCUGCAUUCUGGGUCCCUGAGAGAGCUGCUCCUGAGCUCAUGCCUCUGUCCCAGCAGCAGGAGCCACUUAGGGCUCUACAAUGUGAGAUCUGCUGUGAGUCCAAAAGACCAGACAUGUGAUUCACUCCUCUGCUUUCUGAAGCAUAGGAUCAGCCCUUAGAAGCAGCUGUUCGCCUCUCCUUUAGUAGCUCAGCAAGAAUUCAGUUCAGUAAAAAUUUAUUGAGCACCUAUCCUGCUGCAGGCACUCUCUAGGCACUGAGAGGGAGUUUCCCUGUACUGUGCCCAGAACACUGCUCCUCAGGCCUUUCUCAGCUCAGGAUAUUGGCUUAAACACCUCAACUGAUUCCAAGUGCCACCCUUCCCAAGGGUUUUCCCUUCUUAAAAACCCAUGCUGUUCUCCUAGACAAAGUUAACAUCUGGCUCAACAUACCAUACCUUCUCUCUGAAGUCCUUAAGGUCUGAGAAAGGGAUCCCAGGAGGGAUGCAGAACUCUUGAUGCUGAAUGAGAGGCAAGACCCUCUGCUCCUGUUGCUCGCCAGUGUUCUCUCAGGUCCCCUAAAGGAAAGGCUCGUCCUGUGGCUCGUCCUCCUAAACCAAUCCCUGGGCAUCCCUUUGUUUGUGCCAAUUCUACACACUAAUCUCUCUGCCCUGUGUUUGCAGAUGCUGGUGGGAUGCAGCUGCAGUUUGUGUCUGUGGAGCAGAUUAAGCACUGUCUGCCCCAGCCUGUCUUAACUGUCUUCUCACUGGUUAGCAGUCCUUGGAAGAACAAACAAUCCAUCCAAGCUACCAGAAAGCAGAAGUUCCAUGAUUCGUGACCAGAGUCUCAUAGCACAGUAAAAUUCAUCUCUACAAACAGGUUUAUGGCUGAACAGACUCCACCAACUCAGAGGGCCUUCUGGAUUCUAAGCUGACUGACUGUUGUGUUCCCUGAGUCUGUGAUCACUGCAGCCAUCUCAGCACUAGAGGACACUCCAAGCCCAGGCUUGCCAUGAGUUUCAUGAGGACUUUGAGGCUGACAUGGCUUUCCCACCCAGAUGGACCUAGGAAAGACCCAAGAAGGAUACUGGACUGACGGACCUGAGUCCAGAAAACUGUCCUGUGGCCCAGACAAGUGUGUCUCCUAGCAGCUCUCUGCAGUUCUCAACUGCAGCAAGAGGAGAUGGAGUUGAGACUGGACCACGUCAGGAUCUGCUGUGGGAAGGAGCUGGUGGGCCUAUCUUAUUGUCUCAGAUGUGCAUGCAUCACCCAGCUGGUCCCUGUAUGAGUUGGGUAGUUCCUAGACUGCAGUAGUAGGGGCUAGAGCUGAGACUGGGCCCCAUCAUGAAAUCUGCUAUGAGCGGCUGGAGAGCCCAAUUUCAGCUCAGAGAGGCUCAUGUCACCCAGCAAGUUUCUACACAUAUAAGAUAGUUUCUCAUCAACAGUAGGAGGGGCUGGAGCUGGGACUGGGUCUCCUUGAAAUCUGCUGUGGGAUGGAAGCUGAAGAGCCUGUCUUAUUGGGGCAGAAAAGGACACAUCUCCCAUCAGGUCUCAGCACAAGUAGGAUAGUUCCCUGGUUGCUGCAGAGGGCAGGGUGGAGCUAAGACUGAGCCCACUUGGAAUUUCCUAUGAGACAGAGGUUGGCAAAUGUGUUUGGGACGCUCAGCCUUUUGGUUUGUGGGAUAUGGGCAAGUAUCCCUCUGGGUCCUUGUAUGAGCACCUCUGAACUGAAACAUCAGCUGAGAAAGGCUGGAGCAGAACCACAGAGCCACUUUCAGAUUCACUGCUGAGACCGAUGUCGGUGGGCAGACAAGUCUUUCUGCCAAGGCACUAGUGUGCACAAUUCCUUCUGGACUUCUUGGCAGACAGUUUGGUUGCAGGCUCAAGGCCAAACAAGGCUGUAGCCAAGCCUCAAUCCCACAGCACACAUACCAAGAGGUCCCAGUUUCAGCUCUGGCCCCUCCUGCUACACUUGGGGAAUUAUCCUAUCUACACAGAACCUUUCUUGGCCAUUUCCAGGCAUGAACCUGGAAGCAAGAUCAGAAGAUCAGCUGACCUGGGUGUUGGUCUGUACUCUCAAAACAACCUCCUAGGUCUUGGGCCCUCUCGGGGUUUCACAAACUCCUACCUGAAUCCUGAGGCUUCCACUGACAGACUUUUGGUUGUAGAUUUGACAAUAAUUCUCGUACCCAUCUUGCAGUUGCGGGUAUGAGCAGGUUACCUUCUAUUUUGCCAUCUUGGCAAUGACACUCAGUAAAUGUUUUUUUAUGUUGAUUUUCUGGUCCAGCUAAUCUGUGAAAUGGAGAGAGACAUCAUAUCUCUUAGCUGUGUUAAUCCAAAUAUCUGAGUGAUCAGCCAAGACAAGGUAAGAGUCUGACUUCAAGGGCCCUGAAGGAAGAUCCCCUGCCCCCAGAAUCAUUCCCCUGCCCCCCACUUCUCGAUGGCCAUUUUAAGAGAAAAGAUACCACUAUGGAAGGACAGACUGACUCAAAGUGGAGAACACAGUGGAAGGGAGCUAACAUCUAAUAAGACCCCCAUGUGUCAGGUAUGAAAUGCAAACUCUCAUUUCACCCUCACAGCAACUGGAAGGCAAGAGUGUCCAGCUCCCUUUCAUAAGUGCAUGUACACAAGCAUGGAUGCAGUGCACAGUGCUGACGUGUGCAUUGCAUCCAUAAUGUUGAGGGAGGCCAAUCUUGUUAAUAAUCAACUACUCGCCUCAUGUGACAAAAUACAUGCUUUCCUAAAGAAGUAUAUGAAGUCACAGAUCAAAUCCUACUAGUCUGCAGUUUAUAUUUAAGCACUUAGUAGUUCCAGGCAUGGUGCUAAACACUUUACCUAAUCUCACUCAAUCUUCACAACAAACUAUGCAAAACAUGUAUGUUAUUAGCCCCAGUUUCAGGCUAAGAUAUGGAGAUUUGGUGAGGCUGAGUCAGAGUCAGGGUUGCAGAGUCAGGAUUUGAACUCAUCUCUGCCUGACUUCCAGGGAUCUCCUCAGACAUAAGCAAAAUCACAAUAGAGAAAAUACUUUAAUUAUAUAUUGGAAGGAAAAUAUUAUUUCCUUUAAAAAUAAACAGAAUCAAAAUUACUGAAGUCCCAUCAAAGUUUCUCUGUCACCCUACAAGUAGAGAGCAGUGGGAAAUAAGAGGGACAGUCAGCUUUAUGUUUUGUGCCUUGAUUUCCUGCCAUGCUCCUUCAGGAUAUACAGUUGCACUGUCUUCUUUUUAAAAACUCCUAUGGAAUAGAUCAGACAUGAAUAUGGAACUUGAAUAGACAGUUCAAGUUUUUUUUCCCCUCAUUUCAGGUUUAGAAUUCUAGCAAAGUUAGAAGGGAAAUCCUUCCACUGGUCAUGUAAAAUGUUAAAACAAGCCCGUGGGAUGACUCUUUCUUUGCUUCUCUGACCUGUACUAGAAUCAUGUAUAAAAUGGAAACUCUAAUAAACGAAUAUAACCAAGUGACACAGACACGUAUCUGCACACCCACCGUCUUUGUGUCCUAAUGCUGAUACAGUGCAGCUGUAUAUCAGUGACACGGUGUUCUUAGGAAGUUGAUCAAUGAUUCCCUUCCACAGUUCAGGCUUUAUUAUAGGAGGUAUUAGUUAGCUAAUUACUAUUAGUCGAGUACCUUGGUGUGCCUUCUUCAAGAGCUCCUUUAAAUGCUCCUCUUUUAUUCUACUUUCAAGUCCCAAAAGCAGAUGCUGCUUUUACGGAAACGCCUAAUUGCUGUGGAAUCUGAUGUAUGUCCUACUUCCAUAUCCAAACCUCCGCCUUCCUGUUUAAUGGACAGCAUUCUCAUGACUCACGUUUGAUUUAUGGGCUGGAAGGCGCCACACCUUUUUUUGGUCCUGUCUGCACACAUUGUUAAGUGUCAUCAACUCUGGAAAAAAGCAUUCAUGAGUUAGUUAUGUCAAUAAUAUGAGACAUUAAAAGAGACUUGUCCUACAAACAAAACAGUAAAUGGCAAAUGCAAGGUUUUGUAGUCCCAUAUGCCUCUCUGCUGCACCCUAGAGCCUAUAAUGAUUUUCUUCAUGUCUGCAGCACGAGGCAUCCCUGAAGCUCAUCAUUAGAUAGCAUGUACCUCAUUAAUAUCUGUCCACCCUAACAUUUUCAAUUCUUUUUGGAUUAGCAAAAAAGAACAAAGAGAAGUGAAAUUUAGAUACCUAAUAAGUAGUGUAAAAUAACAAAACAGUAGCCUAUAAAGCAAUGGGAUGUGGGGACUGUGUUCUGUGGUGGCAGUUGUUGUUUUGGAUGGUUCAUAGCUCUGAAUAAUUUCCCAGCAUUCACCCAAUUUAACGCUACUAUGAAAAAAUAAUGUCUAUAAAAUCCACAUCCCAAAUAACUCUUAUUGAAGAAUUAUAAUUCCCUUCUUCCGUUUUCCCAGCCUAACAGAAUACAAGUUUGUUCAGAGGAUGAGAGGAAACCUAUCCCAUUAAAUCCUUGCCUAGCACAUAGGGUGUCCUGUGACACAGGUCUGGUUAGGGAUGCUGACAAAAGGCUUCUGGGUAUUUUCAGGAAAACUCGUGCAUUUGUACUCAAGCACUGCUCCUUCCGCCUUGAGGGUCGAUGUGAAGGCUAGAGCUGCAGCAGCCAUCUUGCAACCAUGAGACGAGGAGCAGGGGAAUUACAGCCUACAGCUAAGGGUGGCAGAGAAGGAUGGCAGGAGCCUGGAUCCGGGAUGGCAGCAAUGCCUCCUUUACUAGCUUCAGACUUCUUAUUGCUUGACAUAAAUGCCCAUACACUU